GUGAGUAACCUUCCCUUGACUCUGGGAUAAGCCCGGGAAACUGGGUCUAAUACCGGAUAUGACCUCCUGUCGCAUGGUGGGGGGUGGAAAGAUUUAUCGGUCUUGGAUGGACUCGCGGCCUAUCAGCUUGUUGGUGAGGUAAUGGCUCACCAAGGCGACGACGGGUAGCCGGCCUGAGAGGGUGACCGGCCACACUGGGACUGAGACACGGCCCAGACUCCUACGGGAGGCAGCAGUGGGGAAUAUUGCACAAUGGGCGCAAGCCUGAUGCAGCGACGCCGCGUGAGGGAUGACGGCCUUCGGGUUGUAAACCUCUUUCAGUAGGGAAGAAGCCUUCGGGUGACGGUACCUGCAGAAGAAGCGCCGGCUAACUACGUGCCAGCAGCCGCGGUAAUACGUAGGGCGCGAGCGUUAUCCGGAAUUAUUGGGCGUAAAGAGCUCGUAGGCGGUUUGUCGCGUCUGCCGUGAAAGUCCGGGGCUUAACCCCGGAUCUGCGGUGGGUACGGGCAGACUAGAGUGCAGUAGGGGAGACCGGAAUUCCUGGUGUAGCGGUGAAAUGCGCAGAUAUCAGGAGGAACACCGAUGGCGAAGGCAGGUCUCUGGGCUGUUACUGACGCUGAGGAGCGAAAGCAUGGGGAGCGAACAGGAUUAGAUACCCUGGUAGUCCAUGCCGUAAACGUUGGGCACUAGGUGUGGGGGACAUUCCACGUUUUCCGCGCCGCAGCUAACGCAUUAAGUGCCCCGCCUGGGGAGUACGGCCGCAAGGCUAAAACUCAAAGGAAUUGACGGGGGCCCGCACAAGCGGCGGAGCAUGCGGAUUAAUUCGAUGCAACGCGAAGAACCUUACCAAGGCUUGACAUGUUCUCGAUCGCCACAGAGAUGUGGUUUCCUCUUUGGGGCGGGUUCACAGGUGGUGCAUGGUUGUCGUCAGCUCGUGUCGUGAGAUGUUGGGUUAAGUCCCGCAACGAGCGC
rnacentral:rRNA from 1 species